GAUCAUGGUUCAGGAUGAACGCUAGCUACAGGCUUAACACAUGCAAGUUGAGGGGCAGCAUGACGGAAGCUUGCUUCCGUUGAUGGCGACCGGCGCACGGGUGAGUAACGUGUAUCCAACCUGCCCUUGUCCAUCGGAUAACCCGUCGAAAGGCGGACUAACACGAUAUGCAGUCCACAGCAGGCAUCUAACGUGGACGAAAUGUGAAGGAGAAGGAUGGGGAUGCGU
rnacentral:rRNA from 1 species